CUAGAUCUUCUCACUUACACUGAGACUGAGAGAGUAGCUUCCCAGAGAAAACAAUGGCGAAUAUGAAUAUGCCGAUGGAUGUCGUUAACGAUCUAUUCCUCCGCCUCCCUGCUACUACGCUGGUACGAUGUCGCGUCCUCUCGAAGCCUUGCUACUCUCUCAUCGACAGUCCCGACUUCAUCGCCUCGCAUCUCAAACGCACGCUAGAAACCGAAGAGCACCUCAUGAUCCUGCUACAAUCGCCUCAGCUUCUUCGUACGGUGUACCUCGACGCACCGGAUAAACUCUCCGACGUCGAGCAUCCUCUACAAACCGGCGGCGUCACGGAAGUUUUCGGUUCGGUUAACGGUAUUAUCGGUUUAACGAACUCUCCUCUCGACUUAGCGCUUUUCAAUCCAUCAACUCGCAAAAUCCACCGCCUACCGAUUGCGUCUAUUGAUUUCCCUGAGCAUUCCAUCAGUCGCGAGAAUGUGUUUUACGGAUUAGGUUACGAUUCGAUGAGCGAUGAUUACAAAGUCGUGAGGAUCAUUCAGUCUAAGGAUGAAGGUGAUGAAGGCGAUGAAAGCUUUGGUUACGCUUUAGAAAUCAAAGUUUUCAGCUUAAAGAGUAAUCAAUGGAAGAGAAUCCGUGUUAACUUUGAGGUUCAGAUUCUCUUCAUCUACUUCUAUUACGAUCUGCUGCAUCGCCGUGGGAAUGGUGUUCUCGCUAGCAACAGUCUUCACUGGAUUUUGCCUCGAACUGGUGGACAUACUGCGUUCAACACGAUUAUCAGAUUUGAUCUUGCUUCUGACAAUCUUGGAGUCCUUAACUUCCCGCAGGAUCUUUACUGUGAAGAUGAUAUGGAUAUUGGUGUGUUAGAUGGAUGCCUUUGCUUGAUGUGUUACAGUGAGUCUAGCCAUGUGGAUGUUUGGAUUUUGAGGGAGUAUCAAGGAAAAUGGAGCAAGUUCAUUACUGUGCCGAAACCAGAGACUGUGGUUUCGUUUGAGUUUGUGAGACCUAUGAUCUACUCCAAGGACAGGAGCAAGAUUUUGCUGGAGUUAAACAAUGGGAAGCUCGUGUGGUUUGAUUUGGAGAGUAAGAGUUUUGAAGCGCUUGAAAUAAAGGGCUGUGAGGGUCCGUGUAAUGCUGAAAUCGUGGUGAGUAGCCUUGUUUUGGGAUGUAAUGGUGAUCCUUGCAGAGCUCAAGAAAAGAAGAUAAUGCAGGAGAGUGACAACAGGGGGGAUGAAUGUCUGUCCAAGGGAUUCAAGCUGAAUUUAUGAACAAAGCAGGGGAACUUUAUAAAGGUUCAGGGCGUUAGAGGGGAGAGGAAAUUGCUUGAAGCAGCUCUAUCAAAUUCUAAUCCCAGUCUUAGUACUAAUUAGCUUUAACCUCUGUAGAAGUUGGUUAUCAGCACAAUUCAAGCUAACAAUGCAACCGAGGAAGUCAACUCAUGCAUAAUCAUCGUCUCAGGGAUACUGACUUGCUGUUGAAAAUGCUAAGUUUAUUGUUCCACUGUGGGCUCUUUUUAUUCCUCUUAGCCUUGACCUCAUUUUGUCCAUUAGAUCGUGUUGAGACUUAUAAAGCUAAAUACAAUUUUUCUUGGGACGAGCCCACGAGGCCCAAAAAGAGAAAAAGUUACAAUUAAUUACAC